rnacentral:rRNA from 1 species
CCCUUAGAUGUUCUCGGCCGCACACGCGCUACACUGAAGGAGGCAACGUGUUUGCCUGAUUCGAAAGAAUUGGGUAACCCCCUAAUCUCUUUCGUGCUGGGGAUUGAGGUUUGCAAUUAUCCUUCAUGAACGAGGAAUUCCCAGUAAGUGCGAGUCAUUAUCUCGCGCUGACUACGUCCCUGCCCUUUGUACACACCGCCCGUCGCUACUACCGAUUGAAUGAUUUAGUGAGGACUUCGGACUGAGUCCAAUGCGGCUUUCGGGCUGCGUUGGUAUUUCGGAAAGAUGUCCAAACUGUAUCAUUUAGAGGAAGUAAAAGUCGUAACA